UUGAGCUUGGCCCUAGACCCGCAGAUGUCGUGGCCUGGCGAGGUUCGAGUCGUGCUCUCCCUGGAUCCUGCCUCCUGGACUGGAUGCCAGUGUACUUCUCCGCCUCCCAGGCCGCCCCUGAAUCUCUCUGCGGCCAUGGAGCCACUAGAGCUGCAAAUCGAUAGGAUGGCGGUGCCAAGUAAGAGACCUCCUCGCUUCCGUCUCGACGAGACGAGAGGUGCAGUGCAGCGACGGAAGGUGUGUUCGCUGAGCAGCUCGAACAAGUGCAAGUCGAUGCCACGGUGGCGCGAGCAGCAGCUCCAGCCAUAGCUUCCUUCCCCUGCGCCAUCCCUCCUACUCCAGUUCUGCAAUUGCCGGAGCCUCCACUGCCUGCAAGGUGUUCGACAAAUUGCCAAGCUUCCAGACACAUAGCAACUUUAAUUUAUGAAGGGUCAGAAAAGAACAUCUACAGUUGGUUUUGGUGCCUUAUUUCACAACCAUCUUUUUUCGAUCAUAUUUAUUUUUACUGGGAUCUUUCUAGUGGAUUAUGUUCUAAUAAAUUUUGCAGUUGCUUGGUAUAAAUAUUCCACUUUCAAGUCAACUGGACGGUUUCGCCAUAGCUCCUACUUCCUACUCUGUACGGGGCAAAAGUUGCAGAUACCGAAAGGCCAUGAUCCUUCCAUCAUCAUUCAUCUCACUAUUUCUCUUUGCUUCAUCAACAUCAAUACUAACUAAUGACAGAGGAUGGACGAACAAUCUGAAAGGAUAUACUAAAUGAUGUUCAAAACUCAGGAGGAUUGAUCUUGGAAUCUAUGAUCACAUAUGAGGAAGUUGCCUGAAUUAGCAAUAUGAUUUGUUUUUGCCACAUGUGAGAUUGGCAUGGGUAAUUCUUGAAAAUACCAGGUAGAAUAAAAGCUCAUACUAUGCUCUCCUACAAAGAGAUCUUUUACAAUAAAGCUGUAAUUUGCUAAGAUAAGUGUUACUGUGAAGUCUAUGUUGUUCAUUGUAGUUAAUUAUAUUUGGAAUGCUAGAAGUUGACUCUCACUUAGGCU